AAAUGUGAAGAUAGUCUCACCCAAUAUCUUUCACCUAAGUGUGGAUUUGGCUAAUCUGUAUGGCUGGGCAGAUGUCCUCUUUCUUCCUCCAUUACUACUCCAUGUGCAUCUCUUCUGAAGCUGAGUGUGUGCUGGAACAGGACUUUUCCCCGCGAGAAGGACCAUUUUUCCAUCAAGGGCUUUAGAGUGGCCAAGCACCCUUGCUAGAACCUCCAAACAAGCUUUCAAUGUCCAUCUGUAGCAGAACACAGGAUAGUCAAGUUUUUUAUUUUUUGUUUAAAUAAACAAUUAAAAAGAAAA
rnacentral:snRNA from 1 species